AAGACACUGCUCAUUACAGUUAGUUUUGCAGGUUUGCAUUGCAGUAUAUGUAUAUGGCUGUGCAAAUCCAUGCAAAACUGACGGUGAUGGUGCGUGCUGUCUU
rnacentral:miRNA from 1 species